AUCGUCUCUGCCUGUAUUUAAUUCUGCUACUUAUUGAAGUGCUAGGAAGUUCCUUUUAACCUAAUAACCGAUUAUUCAAUGAGAAUGAAAAGUGAGUUUUCUUCUUGUAGCAAUCUCCUUUUGAGUUGCCUUCUAAGUUUUAGUAAAACAUUCUAUAGAAUGCCUGCUAAUUUUGGUCCAACCCAAUGUUCGUGCUAAAAUUCAAAUUCAACGGGCAACCUUUCCCCCUAUACUUAUUAUUAAAUUUGGAGACAUUGCUGGGCAAAUUACAAAUCAAUUCUUUUUAAGAGGAGUUUAUGUGAGUUGUUGAGUUGCUUUACACGUCAAAAUGACUAGCCAAAUCAUUUAUAUUUUGCCCUUUCAUUUUGUAAAUUCUCAAAGUGGGACCAGUAUUCCCAACACUCAUGCUAUGGAGGAAAAUUUAUUCUCCUUAUGGAAGUGCAAGAAUUUGGAUUUUGG
rnacentral:misc_RNA from 1 species